rnacentral:rRNA from 1 species
CGACUGAGCGGCGGACGGGUGAGUAACGCGUGGGUAACCUGCCUUACACAGGGGGAUAACAGUUAGAAAUGACUGCUAAUACCGCAUAAGACCCCGGUACCGCAUGGUACAGAGGUAAAAACUGAGGUGGUGUAAGAUGGACCCGCGUCUGAUUAGGUAGUUGGUGAGGUAACGGCUCACCAAGCCGACGAUCAGUAGCCGGCCUGAGAGGGUGGACGGCCACAUUGGGACUGAGACACGGCCCAGACUCCUACGGAAGGCAGCAG